rnacentral:rRNA from 1 species
UACGUAGGGCGCAAGCGUUGUCCGGAAUCAUUGGGCGUAAAGAGCUCGUAGGUGGUCUGUUACGUCUGCUGUGAAAUCCUAGGGCUUAACCCUGGGCCUGCAGUGGAUACGGGCAGACUAGAGGUAGGUAGGGGAGAAUGGAAUUCCCGGUGUAGCGGUGAAAUGCGCAGAUAUCAGGAGGAACACCGGUGGCGAAGGCGGGUCUCUGGGCCGAUACUGACGCUGAGGAGCGAAAGCGUGGGGAGCGAACAGGG